CAAAGAGAGUAAGAAACAACCGCUGCGCAAGAAAAUCCAGUAUGACUUCUCUGAAAGUCUCAAAAGCUUCACAGAGCAGCACCAUCAGUUAAUGAAGAAAUGUGGCUCUGUAGUGGACACCUGUGAGGCAGUGGACAGACAGCUGCUGAUGUCUGAUGCUGACUGACAAUAAACAGACCUCUCUGGACGUACCCCAUAUUUUGCAGAGAAAUUAUACCAUUGCCCUUCCUGUUACAUGAUGAUCCUGCUGUCCUGGACUGUAUAUGAUGAGCCUACACAUAAUCUUAGAACAGCUGUGGUAAUAACAGGAGACCCGUUUGGUGAGAGCAGCACUGCAGACU